GACGAACGCUGGCGGCGUGCCUAAUACAUGCAAGUCGAGCGGACUGAAUGGGAGCUUGCUCUUGUUCGGUCAGCGGCGGACGGGUGAGUAACACGUGGGCAACCUGCCCGCAAGACCGGGAUAACUCCGGGAAACCGGAGCUAAUACCGGAUAACACCGAAGACCGCAUGGUCUUUGGUUGAAAGGCGGCGCAAGCUGCCACUUGCGGAUGGGCCCGCGGCGCAUUAGCUAGUUGGUGAGGUAACGGCUCACCAAGGCGACGAUGCGUAGCCGGCCUGGGAGGGUGACCGGCCACACUGGGACUGAGACACGGCCCAGACUCCUACGGGGGGCAGCAGUAGGGAAUCUUCCGCAAUGGGCGAAAGCCUGACGGAGCGACGCCGCGUGAGCGAAGAAGGCCUUCGGGUCGUAAAGCUCUGUUGUGAGGGACGAAGGAGCGCCGUUUGAAGAAGGCGGCGCGGUGACGGUACCUCACGAGGAAGCCCCGGCUAACUACGUG
rnacentral:rRNA from 1 species